rnacentral:rRNA from 1 species
AUUGAACGCUGGCGGCAGGCCUAACACAUGCAAGUCGAGCGGAUGAAGGGAGCUUGCUCCUGGAUUCAGCGGCGGACGGGUGAGUAAUGCCUAGGAAUCUGCCUGGUAGUGGGGGAUAACGUCCGGAAACGGGCGCUAAUACCGCAUACGUCCUGAGGGAGAAAGUGGGGGAUCUUCGGACCUCACGCUAUCAGAUGAGCCUAGGUCGGAUUAGCUAGUUGGUGGGGUAAAGGCCUACCAAGGCGACGAUCCGUAACUGGUCUGAGAGGACGAUCAGUCAAACUGGAACUGAGACACGGUCCAGACCCCUAGGGGAGGCAGGAGGGGGAAAUUUGGGAAAAUGGGGGAAAGCCUGAUCCAGCCAGGCCGCGGGUGGGAAGAAGGUUUUCGGUUUGUAAAGCCCUUUAAGUUGGGAGGAAGGGAAGUAAGUUAAUCCCUUGCUUUUUUGACGUUACCAAAAAAAUAAGCACCGGCUAACUUCGU